rnacentral:rRNA from 1 species
UCGAGCGGACGAUUCAAAAGCUUGCUUUUGAAUCGUUAGCGGCGGACGGGUGAGUAACACGUGGGCAACCUGCCCUGUAGACGGGGAUAACACCGAGAAAUCGGUGCUAAUACCGGAUAAUACGAAAUGUCGCAUGACGUUUCGUUGAAAGGCGGCGCAAGCUGCCGCUACAGGAUGGGCCCGCGGCGCAUUAGCUAGUUGGUGAGGUAACGGCUCACCAAGGCGACGAUGCGUAGCCGACCUGAGAGGGUGAUCGGCCACACUGGGACUGAGACACGGCCCAGACUCCUAC